AUCACCCUCAACACAAAAGGCACAAGACAGACACAAACAAGCACCCGUGCACACGAAAUACCCAGGGCAUUACCUGAAUCAGUGCGCAGAGAUCCAUCCCGUCCACCGCGCCCCCUCCCCCGCAGGCACCCCCAACGACGAGUUUAAAAAGGAAAGAAAAAGGUACCUACUCUUCCUCGUAGUGCAGGGAAAAAGAUUCAGGAAGGCAAAGUUCUACCGAAUCCAUGUGCGACCGGCAACCAUUAUUUGUGCACCCCAGCUAUAAAUCAAAGUUUCCUUGACAGAACACAGUGCAAUUAACACAAAUGUUCUCCUAGUGACAAGCCUAUAGGCACAGCCAGUUGGGACCAAAGCUCUCACACUCUCCUAAUCAAGGACUUAAAGCUCCGAUUGGAGCUUAUUAAUAUGAAGUAGAGCUUAACAUAUGCGGUCCCACCGGCCCAGGCGCGCAGCCGAUUGGGGGGCCUCUGCCCAAUCAGGAGGGAGGCGACGGGAGGCUGCGAGGAGCCGCGGAGCCAGGCAGAUUCUCCCUCAAGAUCAUGAAACCUUUUCAAAGAAGCUGUUUAACUUUUGGAACCAUCUUCCCCGCUGCCUGUGAUACAUGGUGUGGGAUAUAACAUAACACACUAUAAAAAAACAAAACAACCCACUAUCUUUCACUCCGUAAGAAAACCCACCAGGAACAUCCCUGGAAAAAGAACCCCGAAGGACAAACAGAAGCCGAGACCCUGGGAUCCCCUCUUUGCCCCUUUCUGAGCUGCGUGCCUUUGAGCAGAUGGCUUAUCGGUCCCUAGUUUCCUCAUCUGUGCUCUGGAAUUUCUUUUACGCUAGAAACCUGCUUAGGCUCAGCCCUGCCCGCUGAGAUCACGAGGACUUCGUUGGAAGUCAGUCUGACUACUUUGUAUCACCACCAAACCUCUAUCAAUUCAUCAAACCUCAUUUUCUGUUGCCUUUCAUUUCUAGGGCACAGGCUUUGAUAUUUAAAUUAUUGUCUCCAUUGGCAAGAAGCAAUCAUUUCUACUGAAAAUGAUCGCUUCCGCAGAAGCACUAAUAAAAACCUCUCCUUUUGACA
rnacentral:lncRNA from 1 species